GCCCAGCUGGCUUAGUUGGUAAAGCAUGUGACUUUUGAUCUUGGGAUUGUAAGUUUGAGCCCCACAUUGGGUG
rnacentral:tRNA from 1 species